UUAAUGCCUGUUAUAAAGUGUAUUCUGUCUUCUUUAUUAAUCAGAUGAGCGCCAUAUUUUUACUCUCUGUAUUACAUCGGUCAUCCGAGGCUGUCUUUGAGUUUCAUUGUGUUUAACUAAACGAACACAGCUGCUAACUGGGGUGAUUAAACUCUUAUCUGUCACGUGACGUGCUAUAGACCUGGGAUCCGUUUUAUAAUCAUUUCAGGUUCAAAGAUGUAAGUUGUAUUUGUAGUAAAAUCAUGGUAACCAUGACACCUACAAUAGUAGGUAAAACCCAGUAAACAAGACAUUUACCAUGUGUUUUUUUUUUAUUUUUUUACCACAGUAACUGUAGUUUUACUAUGGUAUAGUAAUAGCACAAUAAUCACCAAAAUGACUGAGGUUGUACCACUGUAAUGGUAGUGUUUUAAUGUGCUUUUAUAUGACAUAUUUCACAGUAAUCACAUUUACUGUACCAUGCUUGUAAUACCUUUUUAAUGUAAAUAAAAAACAUUUUUCCCAUCUUGCAGUUCAAUUCAUAUUAGUUUAUAUCUUAAAUAUUUUGCCCACAGAUCACUAUUAACAUUCUGUAUAUAAUUCUGUUUAAUUUCUUUCCCCUUGUAUUUAUUUUUUAGCUGAAAAGACAUAAAGGAAUCAGUCACCCCAGUCGUGUUUGUGGAGAGGUAUUCCUUCAGAAAUGGAGAAGACAGAAAGCUGCAGAGGCAGAUGAUCUCAUCAGCCAAAUGAGGGGUUUUGACCAAGUGAUGCUCUUGAAAGGAGUGAAAGAAGAGGAUGUGGUAAAUUGUCUUAAAGCAGCUUGAAGAAUGGUAAGUGUACAGUACUACAAGGGUCAUAGUUGCUCACCCUGCUAAAAUCACACAGAACAUAAGCUGAGCUCUCUGUCCAUUAAACAACUUCAUCUGGAUUGUUUGUU
ensembl:lncRNA